rnacentral:rRNA from 1 species
AGUGAACGCUGGCGGUAGGCCUAACACAUGCAAGUCGAACGGCAGCACAGUAAGAGCUUGCUCUUACGGGUGGCGAGUGGCGGACGGGUGAGGAAUACAUCGGAAUCUACUUUUUCGUGGGGGAUAACGUAGGGAAACUUACGCUAAUACCGCAUACCACCUACGGGUGAAAGCAGGGGAUCUUCUGACCUUGCGCGAUUGAAUGCGCCGAUGUCGGAUUAGCUAGUUGGCGGGGUAAAGGCCCACCAAGGCGACGAUCCGUAGCUGGUCUGAGAGGAUGAUCAGCCACACUGGAACUGGGACACGGUCCAGACUCCUACGGGAGGCAGCAGUGGGGAAUAUUGGACAAUGGGCGCAAGCCUGAUCCAGCCAUACCGCGUGGGUGAAGAAGGCCUUCGGGUUGUAAAGCCCUUUUGUUGGGAAAGAAAAGCAGCAGGUUAAUACCCCGCUGUUCUGACGGUACCCAAAGAAUAAGCACCGGCUAACUUCGUG